UACGUAGGGGGGCUAGCGUUGUCCGGAAUCAUUGGGCGUAAAGCGCGCGUAGGCGGCCCGGUAAGUCCGCUGUAAAAGUCAAAGGCUCAACCUUUGAAUGUCAGUGGAUACUGCCGGGCUAGAGUCCGGAAGAGGCGAGUGGAAUUCCUGGUGUAGCGGUGGAAUGCGCAGAUAUCAGGAGGAACACCAAUGGCGAAGGCAGAUCUCUGGGCCGUAACUGACGCUGAGGAGCGAAAGCAUGGGGGAGCGAACAGG
rnacentral:rRNA from 1 species